rnacentral:rRNA from 1 species
GACGAACGCUGGCGGCGUGCUUAACACAUGCAAGUCGAACGGAAAGGCCCGGCAUUUGUGGGGUGCUCGAGGGGCGAACGGGUGAGUGACACGUGAGUAACCUGACCUUGACGUUGGGGUAACUUAAGGAAACGGGGGCGAAUACCGGAUAGGAGCGCAUGCGGCAUGGAGGGGGUUGGAAAGUUUCGGCGGAUGGGGAUGGACUCGCGGCUUAUCAGCUUGUUGGUGGGGUAGUGGCUUACCAAGGCGUUGACGGGUAGCCGGCCUGAGAGGGUGGCCGGCCCCCUUGGGACUGGGGUACGGGCCAGACUCCUACGGGAGGCAGCAGUGGGGAAUAUUGCACCAUGGGCGGAAGCCUGAUGCCGCAACGCCGCCUGCGGGAUGACGGCCUUCGGGUUGUAGUCCGCUUUCGCCUGUGACGAAGCGUUAGUGACGGUAAUGGGUAAAGAAGCACCGGCUAACUACGUG